rnacentral:snoRNA from 2 species
UUUCUCUCAAGGUCACACCUGGAGAGUUUCCAGGAGUUUACCAGUCUCGGCUAUGGGAGGGAGAGUCAAGCAGAGGCAUAUCCAUUCCAUUCCUAGCUUGGGCAGUGGCUAGUCAGUGGAAGACAAUCUGCUACAAGU